AUAUGCCUCAAUUAACAGCAGUUAACACAGGUGAAUUUGGGCCCCCUCUCCAAAAGACGUUUUUUCUCAUCAUUGGCCGAGUGUCCUGACUUUUACAAGGCCUAAUGGUGACUCCUACAGUGGUUGACACCGGCUACCAUGGGGAGAUAAAAAUCUUAGUCACUGCUACGCAGGGACCACUUACCCUUAGGGCUAGAGAGCAUAUAGCCCAAGCCCUACCACUCCCACUAUUCGGCCAUUUCCCUUAUUUGAAAGAGGAGCAAGGACUAUCCUCCCUGGGAUCCUCGGAAGUCUACUGGGCACAGAAAAUAACCGAUUCAUGGCCCAUGCUGACUUUGUUUCUAGAGGGCAAACAGUUUCAAGGGCUCCUGAAUACCAGGUCAGAUGCGACAGUAAUUUCCUCAACACAUUGGCCUGCAGCCUGGCCCUUACAGCCCACUAAGGGAUGGUGUAAUCCACUGAUCAUAAAAUUUACUGCUAAGGGGAGAAACUUAGA
rnacentral:lncRNA from 1 species